ensembl:lincRNA
CUUUCCCAUCAGUUAAUGAGCCAUAUGACUGAUCGCCUCUGUUGGGUUUUUUUUUUUGUUACCCAAAUAAGAAAAGAGUACAUUACAAAUGAAGUUUGGAUGACUAGUAAAGGAUGAAAAGUCCAGAUUUUUCUCAAACAGAUAUGUUAAACUCUCAGGUUAACUGCUCUGCAGCCCUCCCUGUGAGGAAGCCUAGGAAAUAUCUUCGGUAUAAAUACAUUUUUGUAUAUACCUUUGACCUAGUCUAGUGUUAUGGUUUCCAUGUCAUAGAUUCUGGAGGAAAUUCACACUUUGGGCAACAUUCGUAGUGUUUUAACAGUAGUGUUUCCUCCUUUAGAUGGUUUUGUAGCUGAUCUGGUGAUGUUCGCAGGAGCUGACUUUGGCAAGAAAGGAGGACCCAUGGCCCAUGUGGUGCAUGGACAGAGUGCCUUGGAAGACAACGGGGCUUUUAAAGCUUCUAGGGGAAUGCAAAGGCUUUCAUCUUCAGCAGGCUGGCUGAACUUUAAGAAGAUGCUUCCAGGCCCAUAGGCCUUGCGAAGUCCUCCAAAGCCUGGCUACAGCAUAAGUUCCUUUGAGGUCCCCUGUGAAGAUGUCAGUGGCAGAGGAUCCAUAGCUUUCUCCAGAGCUGAAGGAUGUGCUGAACAUGAGCCUCUGAGCCUUAGUCUCUCUCCCCCAGCUCCUGUAAGGUCUUGUGACACUGCCAUCUGCCUCCAGUGGGGGCACAGUGAGACAUCUUCCCUGUGGGAGACUUGUUGCUUUCCUGCUUCCUGUCAGGGUGCCAGCCUCCAUCAGGUAUGGCCAAUCUCACAGCCUGGUCCUAGCUGUGUGGUGAGAAGCUGGGAGAGGAGUCAUCCGUGCCUCCACCAGAGGCGAGGCUGCUGGGGGAGGAAUGAUCAGAGGCAGCCUGGAGCAGAGGGAUGUCAGGAACGAAACGGCUGGCUGAGGGGACAAGUGUCCGUGGGAAGAGAUUUGUGGAGAUUCUGGUAUUCACCCUGAAUGUGAACAGAGAUUUUGGAAGAGAAAGCUGGACAACACCUGGAUCUUCUGAGGUGACCCAGUGUACCGGCUGUGAACACAUCUCUCAGCCCCAGUGUCACCCUGUACCUUUUUUGUAAAAGUGGAGCUGGGCCCUUGAGAUUGUUGCCCUUGUCCGCAGGUCUGGUACUUUGUUAAUUAGCAGGCAGAGGUCUAGAGAUACCCAGGGGGACCAGGCUUCUACAGGUGGGCAGAUUGCCCAGGAGCACUCACCCUGCAAUACCACCCUUGAGGGCUUUGGUAGUGAAGUGCUUCCAGGUGGCAUCUUCUUGCGAACAGCUUCCUCAAUGCCCUAAAACAGUAGAUGUCCAGCAAGUUCUAAAGUGGGAAUUUCCAGCAGGUUCCAAUGGUAUGAACCCUAAAGAUACCUCCAUUAUUUAGAUAGCUGUGCCCACCCUCAGGGGAUCUGGAUCUCGGCCCCAUGGGGAGAGGGAAGGGAAAGGUCACUCUGGUGUACUUUGUUUCAGCCCUAGGAAUGUGGCUGCUUAAAUCUUGUGUCUACUAUGCCUAUUUUCUUUCAUUUUCUCUUCCCUCCUACUAGUCUAUCCCUCCUUACUCCAAAUCCUAUUACAGUUGACAAUUUUAUUAAACUUCCCUG